rnacentral:rRNA from 1 species
CCUACGGGGGGCAGCAGUGGGGAAUAUUGCGCAAUGGGCGAAAGCCUGACGCAGCGACGCCGCGUGAGGGAUGAAGGUCUUCGGAUCGUAAACCUCUGUCAGCAGGGAAGAACGGUCACGGGGCUAAGCAGCAGUGAAUGGACGGUACCGGCAAAGGAAGCACCGGCUAACUCCGUGCCAGCAGCCGCGGGAAUACGGAGGGUGCGAGCGUUAAUCGGAAUUACUGGGCGUAACGCGCUCGUAGGCGGUAUGUCAAGUCAAGGGUGAAAUCCCCGCGCGCAACGUGGGAACUGCCUUUGAAACUGGCACCCUGGCGUGUGUGCGCGGAUAGUGGACUUCCCGGUGUAGGCG